rnacentral:rRNA from 1 species
GCAGCAGCCGCGGUAAUACGAAGGGGGCUAGCGUUGUUCGGAUUUACUGGGCGUAAAGGGCGCGUAGGCGGACUGAUAAGUCAGGGGUGAGAUCCCAAGGCUCAACCUUGGAACUGCCUUUGAUACUGUUUGUCUUGAGUUCGAGAGAGGUAAGUGGAACUGCGAGUGUAGAGGUGAAAUUCGUAGAUAUUCGCAAGAACACCAGUGGCGAAGGCGGCUUACUGGCUCGAAACUGACGCUGAGGCGCGAAAGCGUGGGGAGCAAACAGGAUUAGAUAACCCCGUAGUCCCUGUCUCUUAUAC